GUGGGGAAUAUUGGGCAAUGGAGGCAACUCUGACCCAGCAAUGCCGCGUGAAUGAAGAAGGUCUUCGGAUUGUAAAGUUCUUUAAUCAGGGACGAAGAAAAUGACGGUACCUGAGGAAUAAGCCACGGCAAACUAUGUGCCAGCAGCCGCGGUAAUACAUAGGUGGCAAGCGUUGUCCGGAAUGACUGGGCGUAAAGGGAGCGUAGGCGGUCUGUUAAGUUGGGAGUGAAAUCCCGGGGCUCAACCCCGGAACUGCUUUCAAGACUGACGGACUUGAGUGUAAGAGGGGGAAGCGGAAUUCCUAGUGUAGCGGUGGAAUGCGUAGAUAUUAGGAGGAACACCAGUGGCGAAGGCGGCUUUCUGGAUUACAACUGACGCUGAGGCUCGAAAGCGUGGGUAGCAAACAGGAUUAGAAACCCUAGUAGUCC
rnacentral:rRNA from 1 species